GUGUACAUUAAUAGCUACCCAGUGAAGGUGUACAUUAAUAACUGUCCCAGUGAAGGUGUACAUUAAUAACUGUCCCGGUGAAGGUGUACAUUAAUAACUGUCCCAGUGAAGGUGUACAUUAAUAACUGUCCCAGUGAAGGUGUAAAUAACUACCCAGUGAAGGUGUACAUUAAUAACUGUCCCAGUGAAGGUGUACAUUAAUAACUACCCAGUGAAGGUGUACAUUAAUAACUGUCCCGGUGAAGGUGUACAUUAAUAACUGUCCCGGUGAAGGUGUACAUUAAUAACUACCCAGUGAAGGUGUACAUUAAUAACUGUCCCAGUGAAGGUGUACAUUAAUAACGUCCCAGUGAACCGUGUCAUCCCUAUCCCACAUGACAAUUUUCAGAUCUUUCGGCCUCCUCCUGUAUUUUCCUCCUGCUGCGAGGGCCGUGGGUGUUUAUCAUACUAGCGCGCUCCAUCUCUAAGGCUCCGAGUGCGUUCCCAGAGGACGAGAGUGAGGAGAACGGCACACUCCCGUGUUACCUUUGACCUUUUAGAGGAAAUUGCGUCGUCAACAUGUUGGUUGCUCAUCUAUGCUUUUCCUGCAUCGCGACUA
ensembl:lncRNA